rnacentral:lncRNA from 1 species
AGAGCUAACUUCCGUAAUAAUAAUAAUGCACUAGUAAAAUGGGCGAAGUAUAUCAACACAUUACAGAACCACAGACAACCAAGAAAUAUAUAAAAGGAUGUUCAGACUUGCUCUCAAUUAGUGAAAUGCAAAUGAAAACAAUUCCAGUUUAAUCCAUCAGAAUGGCAAAAAUUAAAGGAUUGGAUAAAAAAAAGGAUUGGAUAAAGUAUCAAUUGUAAUUAUGAUUAAUAAUAAUACACUAAUACACUAAUACUAAUAUACUUAUGCAUAGUGGGAAACAUAGAAGGAUGAAAUAUCUCUGCAUGUAUGGAUAUGUAAAAAAACUCAGAUGUUCUUUUGCUUUUAAAGAUUUUGUUUUAGAGAGAGAGAGACAGAGGCAGAGAGAGUGUGGGGGAGGGGAUGGAGAAGAGAAUCUCAAGCAGACUCCAUGCUAAGCAUAGAGCACAAUGUGGAACUGGAUCCCAGGACCCUGAGAUCAUGACCUGAGCCAAAACCAAGAGGCACAUGCUUAACUGACUGUGCCACCCAGGUGUUCCGAGAUGUUCAUUUUCUAAUCACUAUCUAUAUCUAUGAUAUUUAGUGUAAGCAGUACAGUAAGGAUUUGCUUUUGUUUUGGUUUCUGGAUGUAUAGCCUAUCUCCCCUCCCAUCGUUUAUAUAUAGAUAUAGAUAUAUCUAUAUCUACGGAUAUAUCUAUAUCUAUAUAUAUGGCUUAUCUAUAUGGGCUUAUGGCCCAUCACAUGCCAUAAAGAAAGGAAUUAAAAUCCCACUGUUAAGAUAUAAGAUUUCCAUUUGAUACUGUGUGGGCUGAAUAAGGCACCCAGGCCACCCCAAGAAUGUCCUAGUCUCCAGAAUUUGUGAAUCCCUAGACCCUGUGGCAGGGAGAUUAGCUAUGCUGGCCUGAUAUAAGAACAAGGGCCUAUGGAGGGGGCCCCAGGAGCUGGUCAGAAGAUGGCAGUGUGAUGCAGGAAGCAGAUUCAGAAAAACCCACUUUGCCUCUGGCUUUGAAGAUGGAGGAAGGGGUCAAAGGCCAAAUACAGGCUGCUCUAGAAGCUGGAAAAGGCCAGGGAAUGGAUUCACCCCUCGAGCUUCCAGAAGGAACCAGCUCUGCUGAUCCCUUAAUUUUAGCCCCUAAGACUCAUUCCAGACUUCUGAUCACUAGAACUGUAAGAGAAUAUAUUUGAGUUGUUUUAAGCCACUGAGUUUUGUGUUUGUUACAGCAGCCACAGGACACUAAUACAGAUUAUGUGGAAAAUCUAAGAGCGUGCUAUUAGAAUAUAAAUGAAAUGCACUAUUACAGGUUUCAAAAAGUCAAAGAAGAGAGUGAGUUCAAAUCCUUUGGAGGAAGUAACUUAAUGGCUCCCAGAAACCAUCUUGCCUAAACUCGCUUGGGCUUCAUUUAGGAAAAACAUGACCAACCCUGUGGAGUUGGGAUUAUUUGCUUUGGAAGAACUAACUGGCGAAGACAGCAGACUCUCUCACCAGCAUUCAGGAAGCAAGAGGGGCCUAGAAACAAUGAUACCCCGGUAAUAGUGACCAUAGUGAGUGCCAACCUCUACUAAAAUACCAUUCUCCAUUAAGAAGAAUCAGGUUCCUUGGAGGAAUGUGUGACUCCAGGCCCAGAGCAAGGAAAGUACAGGAUAAGGCUGAUAUGUCAACGGACACAGAAGCCAGCUUAACGAAGUUCUCACUGGUCAAAUCUAGGACAAUUUCAGCAUCAACAUAAAUGAAGCUACAAGAUAACAACCUACUAAAAUAAAGUAGGAAUCUGUGAGUCCAUCCUGAUAUAAUGAAUAACUAAAUGGAUGAGGAAAGAAAACUCUUCCUUAGGGUAGGAUGACAACUAAUAAAUGAAUAAGGAGUGGUAGGAACAGAUAAUGAAGAUUUGACAACUAUCACAGAGGUAGCUGAGAUAGGCAGGUGUUGUCAAUGGAUGCUAAAGGCUGGUAAAUGUAGGACUGACAAGGAAUAGAAUUUGGUGCACUACCAAUCAAAUAGAAAGGAAAAGAUGGUGACCUUCUAGAGGAACCUGGCAGACACCCACAUCCCCUGUGAUGGGACAUGUAGAUGGCCUACGCCUCCCUGUGCCUGUGGCGUACACAGAGUCAUUUCAAUGGUCUUCCUGCCAGGAGCAUGGCCACAGUCAGGUCAUGAGGAAUCGGCAGCGGAUCCAGCUUGAGAGUCUUCCUACAGAACAAAGGAAGGCCUGAGCUCUUUAACAAAACUCUUUAACACAGACUCUUUGACGCAAAAUUAAGCAGAAUGUUAAAUGAAUGGACAAACUCUUUGUCUUAUAAAAAAACAUUAUCACAUAGGUAAGAUGAUCACCUAUCAUAAGGGUUUUCAAAAACACUAUUUCAAACAUCGCAUCUGCUUUUAAGAUUAUGUGUCCCAAUUUUUUGCUUCAGAAAUGUGGUUAUUCUAAUAUUGAAGAAGGGACAUUUAAGAAUGAACACUGGUUAAGAAGGAAGGGAGUAUGUUAUAAAAGGAAAAAAAAAGGUACGUGUGGCCAGAUAUGUGAGUUACAGUGUGAGCUCUGUCAACAGAGCUAGUUGUUUGGCCUCAGCCGUUCAAUGUCUGAGGUUAGCUAAUUGUGCUCAAUAACUUCUAAAGUCCAGUCCAGCAUGAAAAUCCACGAGUUAAAUAUACUAUAUUUGUAUAUCAGAAAGUUCAAGCUUUAUCUGAUAAUAUGAAAAUGUGCCACGUUCAGUAAUUGGAUGGGAAUAGACAAGUGAGUAGGUUUGAUUAUUUAACAACUUGAUAUGAUUUACUUUUGACAAAAGCCUUGAAUUCAUUACCAGGCUGAGUAUUCCAAAGAAGUGUCUUCAGGAUGAGAAAGGAGAAGCUGUGCCUCUCUACUUCCGCCAAGUGGUGGCAAGUGUGACAGACCGCAUGACUAACAAAUACUGGAGCUAAAUUUCUAGAAGUGUAAAUUUUCAGCUCCCCCUCCUGGCCACUGCCACAUUUCUUUUUAAUUCUCAAUGUUGACCUAUUUUUUACUAGAAUUUUAUUCCAUUUUAAUAAAUUGUACUAAAGUACCCUACUCUUGAUAUAUCUUACACAUUAAAAUGUUAAUUUUAUGCAUUCUUUCAACACAUAUUUGAAAAAAAAAAAAGAAAAAAACCCCCACAUAUUUGAGAGCUUUCUAUGUGCCAGGAACUGUCUGAGGCAUGGGGGAUGUAAUGAACACAAACGUUUCUCUUUUCAUGUUGCUUAUAUGUUGGUAAUAAAAUAAUCACAAUAGUGACUGUUCUAAGUGUUUUAGAGGAAAGAGACAACUCUGUGGAGAUAUAUCCAAAGAAACCUGAUCCAGACAGUGACCUUGGAAGUUCUAUGGAAGGGCCAUCUAAGCAGAGAUAUGACAGGUCAGUGGGAACUAAUCAUGCAAAAAGGAAUGGAGUGUAGGAAGGAAGUACAUUGCGGAUGGAGAGAAAAGACAGUUCCAAGGCCUGGUGGGUAGAUAAGGCCCAUGUGGCUGGGUCCCAGUGGUUCCCAAUGAGUCUCCGGAGGUAGGUGAGGGUGAGCAGCUGCAGUCACAGGAGGGCAGGUUUAAUUCAAGAGCAACAGGAAGCUAGUAGUGAGUAAAGGGAAGAGAUAACAUAAUUUGUUCUGCUUCUUGAAGGUUACUCUGGCUGCAGUGUGGAGAAGAGAAUACAGGGGAGGAUUUCAGAAGGCUGGUGAAAGAAGGUGGCAGUUUGGACUAAGUGCCAGUGGCAAUUAAAAGUAGUGAAAGAUGUACAGGAGGUGAUGUCGCCAGGGCUCGGUGAGCCACUGGGCAAAGGGGCAAGGGUAAAGGUCAAGGAGGAAUCCUAGCUGCCAAUGGAAGAGGUCCCAGCUGGGAGGAGUGGUGGGAGAUUGGUCUUCUGCACAUGGAGUUGGUCUCUGAGAGGAAUUAAGAGGCAAGGUCAAUAAGCCAGCUGGACAUACAGGUCAGCUCAGAAAAGAGGGCCAAGCUGGAGAGAUUAAGUUGGGAGUCCACAGCAUAGAGAUGGUGGGCAUGGGUUUGUGCCUAAUGUCAGAAUAUGGGGGCAUGGGGAAAGAAUGCGAUGAAAACAGACUGAGCUUUGAGGAACUGCAGUAUUAAGGAGCCCAGGAGAGUGAGCCAGCAUGGCUGUAGGAAAAGCAGAAAGAGGUGGGGGUGGAGGGGGGCACAGAGGCCAAAGGAAGACAGUGUUUCAAGAGAUGGGAGCAGAGUGUCAAAUUUAAAUGCUGCCAAGAGAUUGAGCAAGAAGAGGCCCGGAAGUGUCUGAUCAGUGGUUUUGUUUUGUAUAGAGAUAAGGGUGGAAGGCAGACUAGAGCGGCCUAAGGGAUGAGAGACACAGGAAUGGACGCAUGGAAGAUGGCAAUUCUUAAAAAAGUUUGCUUGUUGAAGGGAAUGAGAGUUUGAGCAAUAGCUGGAAAAUGAAGGGGCACAUGGGGUCAAGGGAGAUUUUUUUCUCUUUUGUGAUGGGACACUGGAGCAUGUUUAAAAGCCAAGGGAAAGAGCCAGCUGAGAUGGAACAGGUGACAGCUGAUAACAAAAGCGGAAGGAUUCUGGCAAGUGGGUGGGGAUGAGAUCCAAAGCACAGGGAGGGGUGGCCUUGGCUAGGAGGGGGAACAUGGGUAUGGCUGUAGGUAAGGCUUGCAGUUGUGGUAGCUGGGGCUUGAGGAGAUUCCUGUCAGGCAGCUUUACGUUCCUCUAGCAAGUGACAGCAGUGUGAGAUCAAAUUUGAGUAAAGUGGGGGGUUUAUGAUCUGCAGUAUCUUAUGAUAUCCUAUUAGACCCUCCACAGGCUGCAGCAAUCCUGCCAUGCUGCUUUGGUCAACUGGGGUUUCAUUUGAUGGAAGAAGAAAAAAAAAUGGGAGUUGGGGGGUCUGUGAUUGGGAGGUACAGUUGCGUGGGGGCCAUUAGCUCUCUGAGGGCGAGGACCUGUCCUAUCAAUCCCUGCAUCACUCUGUGACCCACUGACUGGAGAACCAGCGCCCAGGCACUCACUAUCAAAAUGACCAGCACUGGAAUGAUCACUUGUCUCCAUUUCAAUUUGCCUCUUUUGGUGCUUUCUUUUUUUAUUUAUUUAUUUAUUUAUUUAUUUAUUUAUUUAUUUAUUUAUUUAUUUAUGAUUUUAUUUAUUCAUGAGAGACAGAGAGAGAAAGAGAGAGAGAGAGGCAGAGACACAGGCAGAGGGAGAAGCAGGCUGGAUGCAGGGAGCCCGACGUGGGACUUGAUCCCGGGACACCAGGAUCACCCCCUGGGCUGAAGGCAGCGCUCAAACCGCUGAGCCACUGGGGCUGCCCCUUUUGGUGCUUUCUAAAAAAAAAAA